rnacentral:rRNA from 1 species
CAGGUGGUGCAUGGCUGUCGUCAGCUCGUGCCGUGAGGUGUAUAGUUAAGUCUAGCAACGAGCGCAACCCUCGUCUUCAGUUACUCGUUUCGAGAAAACUCUGGAGAGACUGCCGGUGCAAGCCGGAGGAAGGAGAGGAUGACGUCAAGUCAGCAUGCCCCUUACAUCCUGGGCUACACACGUAAUACAAUGGUUGAGACAAUCGGAAGCAAUCUCGUGAGAGUGAGCGAACCUGCUAAACUCAACCUCAGUUCGGAUUGUAGGCUGCAACUCGCCUACAUGAAGCCGGAAUCGCUAGUAAUCGCCAGUCAGCUAUAUGGCGGUGAAUACGUUCCCGGGCCUUGUACACACCGCCCGUCACACCACGGGAGCUGGUUCUGCCCUAAGUCGUUACCCUAACCGUUUGGAGGGGGAUGCCUAAGGCAGUGCUCGUGACCAGGGUGAAGGCGUAACAAGGUA